rnacentral:rRNA from 1 species
UACAGAGGUCCCGAGCGUUGUUCGGAUUCAUUGGGCGUAAAGGGUGCGUAGGCGGCGGGGCCAGUCUGAUGUGAAAGCCCAGGGCUCAACCCUGGGAUGCCGACCGAUACUGUCGGACUAGAGUUCGGAAGAGGCGAGUGGAAUUCCCGGUGUAGCGGUGAAAUGCGCAGAUAUCGGGAGGAACACCUAUGGCGAAGGCAGCUCGCUGUGACGUUACUGACGCUGAGACGCGAAAGCGUGGGGAGCAAACAGG